GCACCCUUGGUGUACAUUGGAAACACACAUCUUUGAGUUGAUGUACUCUUGUCUUGGAUUUCACUAAUCAAGAUGAGUCCGGGGUUCGAAUCCCCGAGGGUGCA